GGAUAAUACCGAAAGGUCAAAGAUUUAUCGGCUAUUGAGCGGCCUAUUUCCUAUCAGCUAGUUGGUGAGGUAAUGGCUCACCAAGGCUACGACGGGUAGCGGGACUGAGAGGUUGGCCCGCCACAUCAGGACUGAGACACUGCCCGGACCUCCACGGAGGGCUGCAGUAACGAAUAUUGGGCAAUGGGCGAAAGCCUGACCCAGCAAUGCCGCGUGUAGGAUGAAGCCCCUCGGGGUGUAAACUACUUUCAGGGACUAGAAAGCUACGGCUGAUCAAUCCCAGAAGAAGUCACGGCUAACUUCGUGCCAGCAGCCGCGGUAAUACGAAGGUGGCAAGCGUUGUUCGGAAUCACUGGGCUUAAAGGGCGCGUAGGCGGAAAUGUAAGUGUUUUGUGAAAUCCCACGGCUUAACCGUGGAAUUGCUUGGCAAACUACAUUUCUUGAGGCAAGUAGGGGUGUGUGGAACUCUUGGUGGAGCGGUGGAAUGCGUAGAUAUCAAGAGGAACGCCGAAGGUGAAGACAGCACACUAGACUUGUCCUGACGCUGAGGCGCGAAAGCGUGGGGAGCAAACAGGAUUAGAUACCCUGGUAGUCCACGCCGUAAACGAUGUCUACUAGGUUGUGGGGGUUCUGACACCUUCACAGUCGAAGCAAAAGUGUUAAGUAGACCGCCUGGGGAGUACGGUCGCAAGGCUAAAACUCAAAGGAAUUGACGGGGGCUCACACAAGCGGUGGAGCAUGUGGAUUAAUUCGAAGCAACGCGCAGAACCUUACCUGGGUUUGACAUGCAUGGAUGCCAAUCUGGAAACAGAGGAAGCUGCCCUCGGGUGAAACUUGCACAGGUGCUGCAUGGCUGUCGUCAGCUCGUGUCGUGAGAUGUCGGGUUAAGUCCUUUAACGAGCGAAACCCUUACCGUUAGUUGCCAGCGCGUCAUGGCGGGGACUCUAGCGGGACUGCCGGUGUUAAACCGGAGGAAGGUGGGGAUGACGUCAAGUCCUCAUGGCCUUUAUGCCCAGGGCUUCACACGUGCUACAAUGGUAGGUACAAAGCGACGCGAUACCGCGAGGUGGAGCAAAUCGCAAAAAAAACCUGCCCCAGUUCAGAUUGUAGGCUGGCAACUCGCCUACAUGAAGUUGGAAUCGCUAGUAAUCGCAUAUCAGCGAUGAUGCGGUGAAUGUGUUCCUGAGCCAUGUACACACCGCCCGUCAAGUGAUGGAAGUUGGGAGUACCCGAAGUCGGAUUGUUAACCUUUUAGGAGACGUCUGCCGACGGUAAGCUCGAUGACUGGCACUAAGUCGUAACAAGGUA
rnacentral:rRNA from 1 species